rnacentral:sRNA from 1 species
UAUGGAAUAAAAAUAAGUAAUUGGAUAUUAAACUUACAUGAGCAUCAGAACCAUCUUUGAGUGCAGAAUCUCCUCUCCAUGUAACUUUUUGGUUCGGAGGCAAUUUUCCAGAACGUUGAGCUUCAAAAUACAAAAGACUCUUUUGGAGAGCUUCUGCAUAAUUUGUAGAAACAGCUCCACGAGCCAUCGACAUUACUAGUACCACAAUGCAAAUACUUGUCCAUAAGCAUUGUGAAGAUCCGUUUUUCGAUUGAGACAUCUUUUUUUGAUAAAUCUUUAGACGAUCUCAAGACCAAUUGUACAAUAGAUUUUACUUUUUGCUUGUGUUUUGGAUGUCUAUGUCUAUGUAUGUAUUCACUAUUUAU